rnacentral:rRNA from 2 species
AGAGUUUGAUCCUGGCUCAGAACGAACGCUGGCGGCACGCCUAACACAUGCAAGUCGAACGGUAUGGACAUAUAAUUGUACAUAUAGUGGCGGACUGGUGAGUAAAAAGUAGGAAUCUACCCAUAGGUUAGGGAUAGCACCGGGAAACUGGUGGUAAUACCUGAUAAUACUGGAGACAGGAAAGGAGGAAUUCGCCGAUGGAGGAGCCUAUAACUGAUUAGAUAGUUGGUGGUGUAAAGGACCCCCAAGUCGAUGAUCGGUAGCUGUUCUGAGAGGAAGAUCAGCCACAUYGGGACUGAGAUACGGCCCAAACUCCUACGGGAGGCAGCAGUGGGGAAUAUUGGACAAUGGAGGGAACUCUGAUCCAGCGAUGCCGCGUGAGUGAAGAAGGCCUUAGGGUUGUAAAGCUCUUUUAUCAGGGAAGAUGAUGACGGUACCUGAGGAAUAAGCACCGGCUAACUCUGUGCCAGCAGCCGCGGUAAUACAGAGGGUGCAAGCGUUGUUCGGAAUUACUGGGCGUAAAGGGCGCGUAGGCGGUUAUGUAAGUUGGAUGUAAAAGACCUGGGCUUAACCUGGGGAAUGCGUACGAUACUGCAUGACUAGAGUGUAGGAGAGGAUAGUGGAAUUUCCGGUGUAGAGGUGGAAUUCGUAGAUAUCGGAAGGAACACCAGAGGCGAAGGCGGCUAUCUGGUCUACAACUGACGCUGAUGUGCGAAAGCGUGGGGAGCGAACAGGAUUAGAUACCCUGGUAGUCCACGCCGUAAACGAUGAUUGCUAGAUAACGGUUCGGGAGGGUCGGUAUCGCAGUAAACACGGUAAGCAAUCCGCCUGGGGAGUACGGUCGCAAGAUUAAAACUUAAAGGAAUUGACGGGGACCCGCACAAGCGGUGGAGCAUGUGGUUUAAUUCGACAAUACGCGAAGAACCUUACCCGCUUUUGACAUAUGGAUAGACCGAUACAGAGAUGUAUUGGGCAGGUUAGCUGGAUUCAUACAGGUGCUGCAUGGCUGUCGUCAGCUCGUGUCGUGAGAUGUUGGGUUAAGUCCCGCAACGAGCGCAACCCUUAUCCGCAGUUACUAACAGGUGGAGCUGAGUACUAUGCGGGAACUGCCGCUGAUAAAGUGGAGGAAGGUAGGGAUGACGUCAAGUCCUCAUGGCCCUUAUGGGCGGGGCAACACACGUGCUACAAUGGUGGUGACAGAGAGAAUCGAAGCGGCGACGCGGAGAGAAUCUGUGAAAAGCCAUCUCAGUUCGGAUUGCACUCUGCAACUCGAGUGCAUGAAGUUGGAAUCGCUAGUAAUCGCGGAACAGCAUGCCGCGGUGAAUACGUUCUCGGGUCUUGUACACACCGCCCGUCACACCAUGGGAGUCGAUAUUACUUUAAGUCGGUGAGCUAACCGAAAGGAGGCAGCCGAUCACGGUAAGAUUGGUGACUGGGGUGAAGUCGUAACAAGGUAGCCGUAGGAGAACCUGCGGCUGGAUCACCUCCUU